UACGUAGGGGGCAAACGUUGUCCGGAUUUAUUGGGCGUAAAGAGCGUGUAGGCGGCCAGGUAGGUCAGCUGUGAAAACUCGAGGCUCAACCUCGAGACGCCGGUUGAAACCAUCUGGCUAGAGUCCGGAAGAGGAGAGUGGAAUUCCUGGUGUAGCGGUGAAAUGCGCAGAUAUCAGGAAGAACACCCGUGGCUAAGGCGGCUCUCUAGUACGGUACUGACGCUGAGACGCGAAAGCGUGGGGAGCGAACAGG
rnacentral:rRNA from 1 species